GGGUAAUGGACCACCUGGUCUGGGGAGGACACUGGCUGUAGGUUCUGGGGCUCUUCUAAUCCCAGGGUGUCCCCUUCAUCUGUGACAGUUAAGGAAUGGGACAGGGACUCCUGGAUCGCCCUGUAAAUGAAGGAGAAAGGCUACCUGCCAGCUGCAGAUUUAUCACAAAUAUUUUCUUCAAGAAACUGGCUGUUACCUCUCUGUGUAUGAAAUACGAAAGUAACUGAAAAAUCUCAAUAUGAACAGCAAUAAAGGAUACAUAUGACAA